rnacentral:rRNA from 1 species
CAUUAUACGGCGAAACUGCGAAUGGCUCAUUAUAUAAGUUAUCGUUUAUUUGAUAGCACCUUACUACUUGGAUAACCGUGGUAAUUCUAGAGCUAAUACAUGCUAAAAAUCCCGACUUCGGAAGGGAUGUAUUUAUUAGAUUAAAAACCAAUGCCCUCUGGGCUCUCUGGUGAUUCAUGAUAACUUCGCGGAUCGCACGGCCUUGUGCCGGCGAUGGCUCAUUCAAAUUUCUUCCCUAUCAACUUUCGAUGUUUGGGUAGUGGCCAAACAUGGUUGCAACGGGUAACGGAGGGUUAGGGCUCGACUCCGGAGAAGGAGCCUGAGAAACGGCUACUACAUCCAAGGAAGGCAGCAGGCGCGCAAAUUACCCAAUCCCGAUACGGGGAGGUAGUGACAAUAAAUACUGAUACAGGGCUCUUUUGGGUCUUGUAAUUGGAAUGAGUACAAUUUAAAUCCCUUAACGAGGAACAAUUGGAGGGCAAGUCUGGUGAACGUUGCUGGUGCCAGAAAGAGCCACCCUCUGGUAAAUAAAGUGGCUAGUCGAGUGCUCAUAAUGUGACGGGUGAGCACCGGCGAGACAACCUGGAUCGGGGGAGGCUAAGGGCCCAUUGCGGCCUAUGCUAAUCCCGAGCAGAGCCAGUUCUUCUGGCCUGUGUAGAGCGCGCCAAGGUGUCGGUCCCAGAGGUCUUCUCGGGGCUUAAGGUACGUGCCAAUCCCCUGUGAAAACAGGGCCCUGCGGAGUAGCACCCGUCGUGCGAUGUCGUAGGGAGCCUUUCUGAAAGGGAAGGUGCUAUAAAAAUGGCCAGCAGCCGCGGUAAUUCCAGCUCCAAUAGCGUAUAUUAAAGUUGUUGUGGUUAAAAAGCUCGUAGUUGAACUUUGGGCCUGGCUGGCCGGUCCGCCUCACCGCGUGUACUGGUCCGGCCGGGCCUUUCCCUCUGUGGAACCCCAUGCCCUUCACUGGGUGUGGCGGGGAAACAGGACUUUUACUUUGAAAAAAUUAGAGUGCUCCAGGCAGGCCUAUGCUCGAAUACAUUAGCAUGGAAUAAUAAAAUAGGACGUGCGGUUCUAUUUUGUUGGUUUCUAGGACCGCCGUAAUGAUUAAUAGGGACAGUCGGGGGCAUCAGUAUUCAAUUGUCAGAGGUGAAAUUCUUGGAUUUAUUGAAGACUAACUACUGCGAAAGCAUUUGCCAAGGAUGUUUUCAUUAAUCAGGAACGAAAGUUAGGGGAUCGAAGACGAUCAGAUACCGUCGUAGUCUUAACCAUAAACUAUGCCGACUAGGGAUCGGACGAUGUUAUAUUUUGACUCGUUCGGCACCUUACGAGAAAUCAAAGUGCUUGGC